GAAACCGAAGCCCAGAGACAAGUGACCCACAGGGUGUCACAUGGUGAGCGGUGCGUCAGUGACAAAGUAUAUGCUGAGAUACUCAGUCACCAGCUGUCAAGAAGUACGAGAGAACUCCAGCCCACCCUCAGGCAAAAGGGGAGCUCCUCCAUCCUCAGCAACAUAUGGCUUUCAAGUAAGCUGUGAUAUUCUGUAUAAAUCCAGAGGAAAGGAAAAUAGCAUGGAAGAGUGUGCGAGACAGGAUUUUAUGGAUGUGACCGGAAAGUAAUAUAUGUCGCUUCCAUUCACACUCCAUUGGCCAGAACCCAGUUGCCAGGCUGCAUCCACCUGCAAGGUUCCCCAGGGUGUGGAGAGGCUAAGAAGCCUCCACGUUCCCGGCUGGAGCUUACCUUUCUCGGUACAGG